UGCGGGAUAGAGCAGUUGGCAGCUCGUCAGGCUCAUAACCUGAAGGUCGCUGGUUCGAGUCCAGCUCCCGCAA
rnacentral:tRNA from 1 species